rnacentral:rRNA from 1 species
CCUACGGGAGGCAGCAGUGGGGAAUAUUGGACAAUGGGCGCAAGCCUGAUCCAGCCAUACCGCGUGUGUGAAGAAGGCCUUUUGGUUGUAAAGCACUUUAAGCGAGGAGGAGGCUCUUGAGGAUAAUACCCUUGAUGAGUGGACGUUACUCGCAGAAUAAGCACCGGCUAACUCUGUGCCAGCAGCCGCGGUAAUACAGAGGGUGCGAGCGUUAAUCGGAAUUACUGGGCGUAAAGCGCGCGUAGGCGGCUUGUUAAGUCGGAUGUGAAAUCCCCGGGCUCAACCUGGGCACUGCAUUCGAUACUGGCAAGCUAGAGUAUGGGAGAGGAAGGUAGAAUUCCAGGUGUAGCGGUGAAAUGCGUAGAGAUCUGGAGGAAUACCGAUGGCGAAGGCAGCCUUCUGGCCUAAUACUGACGCUGAGGUGCGAAAGCAUGGGGAGCAAACAGGAUUAGAUACCCUGGUAGUCCAUGCCGUAAACGAUGUCAACUAGCCGUUGGGGACCUUGAGUCUUUAGUGGCGCAGCUAACGCGAUAAGUUGACCCGCCUGGGGAGUACGGUCGCGAAGACUAAAACUCAAAAGGAAUUGACGG